rnacentral:rRNA from 1 species
UGGGGAAUCUUGGACAAUGGGCGCAAGCCUGAUCCAGCCAUGCCGCGUGAGUGAUGAAGGCCUUAGGGUUGUAAAGCUCUUUUUACCAGGGACGAUAAUGACGGUACCUGGAGAAUAAGCCCCGGCAAACUUCGUGCCAGCAGCCGCGGUAAUACAGAGGGUGCAAGCGUUAAUCGGAAUUACUGGGCGUAAAGCGCGCGUAGGUGGUUUGUUAAGUUGGAUGUGAAAUCCCCGGGCUCAACCUGGGAACUGCAUUCAAAACUGACUGACUAGAGUAUGGUAGAGGGUGGUGGAAUUUCCAGUGUAGAGGUGAAAUUCGUAGAUAUUGGGAAGAACACCAGUGGCGAAGGCGGCUAACUGGUCCGGUACUGACGCUGAGGUGCGAAAGCGUGGGGAGCAAACAGGAUUAGAUACCCAUGUAGUCCCUGAGCGGGCUGGCAAGGCGCAU